GCUGGAUCCGCGCGAGAUGGACCGUGCGUGGCCACCAUGGCCUCGGCCGCCUUCGUGUUCGCCGACGUGCCGGACCGGGUCCCCAGUGACGUCGCAGUGCCCCUGCGGUCAGUGAAGGGCUCAGCAAAUGAGAGGAGCUCGGCCAGCGCUCGACGGCCGGCGCUAUGCCUGGUGGCGGUGGUGGCGGUAGCAGCUCGGCUGCUCGGCUAACGGCAGCUCUCGUGCGUGCGGCGCCGUCGGCCACGCGCGCGUCGGCCCGAAUCCCACCGCCGGGCCGAGUCCGACCAGCCGUCCGCCCGCCGUCGGCUGGGCUGACCUGGCUGUUGUGAGGGGAGCUGUUCCGCGCUGGGCUGACCUCGCGGUGGACGCGGCGCCGCCCACCGGCUGCAGCUCCACGCCCAUCAGUCUGGAUCGCGCGUUUUUGCCUUGUCAUUGCCCGGAGCGCAAGGAGUUCACAGCUUCGGCAGCCUAAUCGGGUUGUUAUACCCGGAUUCCCCCGAUUGGACGCGGCGCCGCCCACAGGCCCGG